rnacentral:miRNA from 1 species
CGCGGAAAGGUGUGCACAUCGUA